AUUGAACGCUGGCGGCAGGCCUAACACAUGCAAGUCGAGCGGAUGAAGGGAGCUUGCUCCUGGAUUCAGCGGCGGACGGGUGAGUAAUGCCUAGGAAUCUGCCUGGUAGUGGGGGAUAACGUCCGGAAACGGGCGCUAAUACCGCAUACGUCCUGAGGGAGAAAGUGGGGGAUCUUCGGACCUCACGCUAUCAGAUGAGCCUAGGUCGGAUUAGCUAGUUGGUGGGGUAAAGGCCUACCAAGGCGACGAUCCGUAACUGCUCUGAGAGGAUGAUCAGUCACACUAGAACUGAGACACGGUCCAGACUCCUACGGGAGGCAGCAGUGGGGAAUAUUGGACAAUGGGCGAAAGCCUGAUCCAGCCAUGCCGCGUGUGUGAAGAAGGUCUUCGGAUUGUAAAGCACUUUAAGUUGGGAGGAAGGGAUGUAAGUUAAUACCUUGCUGUUUUGACGUUACCAACAGAAUAAGCACCGGCUAACUUCGUG
rnacentral:rRNA from 1 species